rnacentral:rRNA from 1 species
AGAAUCAACGCUGGCGGCGUGCCUAACACAUGCAAGUCGAACGAGAAAGUGGAGCAAUCCAUGAGUAAAGUGGCGCACGGGUGAGUAACACGUGACUAACCUACCCUUGAGUGGGGGAUAACCGUCGGGAAACCGGGGCUAAUACCGCAUAAUAUCGAGAGAUCAAAGGAGCAAUUCGCUUAAGGAGGGGGUCGCGGCUGAUUAGCUAGUUGGUGAGGUAAUGGCUCACCAAGGCUAUGAUCAGUA